GCCAGGUGUGGUGGUGUGCACCUGUAGUCUCAGCUACUUGGGAGGCUGAGGCAGGAGGAUCACUUAAGCCCAGGAGUUCCAGGUUGCUGUAAGCAAUGACUAUGCCACUGCAUACUAGCCUGGGUGAUAAAGUGAAACUCUGUCUCUU
rnacentral:sRNA from 1 species